CAUGCAAGGACAUUUCCAGGUAAAUAUGUUGUCACCCUGUCAAGUCUUUGUUGAAUGCAGUCAUUCCGUAAAGAGCAAGGCAAUGAGCUGCACAUUGGAUAAGGAAAAAUUAUCUUUUAGUCAGGCUUCCUUCAUUAGUUCUCUGGCUUUAAGUUGCACAGCUUUGAAAGAUCCAUAAUCAUACCUGUCUGACCUGCUUCACAGAGUUAUUGUGAGAUGAGAGCAUGCAAACUGUUCUGCAUAUUAAAAGUGUUCUAAAAAUGAGAAGUUCCUGAAAAGUGAAAAUUAUUCAUAUUCUCUAUUAUUGACAAGCAUUCAGAGAUUUCAUCUUGAGAAGAAUUUACUCAAAUUGAUUGGAACUAGAUGAGUAACAUUCUGUGGUCAAUGGCAGCAAGUCAGUGAAAACAUCUCCCUGUUUUUAUUGCAACUUGCCUUCCAAGCUACUAGUGGAGCAAAACUACACCAGGACUUCUUUUUAAACACAGAUGGCCAAAGGCUAAGAUUUCUUCAGACCUAAAGUAUUUCUUGUCUUAGUUCUUCCAGAAGAAUCUCCUGUUCCACAGGUCCCCUGCCUGAUCUGAAGCCCAUGGUGUGUCAGAGCUGCUGGUGUUGAUUCACAGACAAGCCUAAAAUUCGCCCAGUGCCACAAGCCCCUGCUGCUUUACAAACACUAUCAGGAAGCGGACUGUCACAAUUACACAGCUGGCAAUGUCAGACCCUGACCUCCCAGGGCCCUACAUGCCUGGGACAGACAGUUUGCUUUCUAUUUGGAACCCUGGCAGGUUCUGAACUCCUAUAGCCUCCUGGCUCCAUGACAUCAGGUGCUCAAAGAGGUGACAAAUAUUCCUGGAUUUAUGGUUGGCAAAUCCUACAGAUAGUCCUGAAGUAGAUUGACUGUGGACUAAUGAAAGGAGCUAGCUAUUUUGCUUGACAUUUGGAAGGCUCCUCUUGUUAUAACACAGGAGCCAGCCCGGUUUCACACAUGGACUGAAACACUCCACAAGACUAUGUGCCAAGGGAACUCUGUAACCUUCAGGCAUUUUGCUGGUACAUGCAUCAUUGAAUCACUGCCAUUCUUAAAACCCUUCCUUUCACCUUGUAUUUGAAAAAAAAAAUCUCUAUGCAAUCUAAUAAAGUGCAAUGUUAUUAAACAUUUUGAGUGAAAUGAGCAAGGUAGUGGGAGCAGUAGGGACAAAGUAAAAUGUUGUGUCCCGAGAAAUUGGCUUUACAACCAAGUCAUUGUCAUGCAAGUACUCAACACACCGAUUCAACAAAGUAUCUAAGCAAGAGGGUGUGAUGCUGGGACAUUCAAUAAAUGAAUGAGAAUCAGUUGAUCACCAGGACACGUUGAGAAACAUUUACAACCCCUGCUGUUCAAAGUGUAGGGAUGCAAUCCUGAAUAAAAGCUAGGGUUCUUGUCCUCAGGAGAGCUUAAAUUUCAGCGGGGAGGGCAAAUCCACAUAAUUUCAAGUUUGGCUCUGUUACAAAGAAAAGAAAAGAAUCAGGGUAAUAAAAUACACAGUGAGAGGGUGGAGGUGGUUACUAUAAACCGGCUGGUCAAGGGAGUCUUCAGAUGACACUCAAACCAAACUGGAAUAACGAGGACGCUGCCAGGGGACGUCUGGGAGCACCGUCACAGAAGGGGAACAAGUGCAAAGCAGCCCAGAGGAAUGCUCCCGGCUCGUUAAGAGACCCGUAACAACUUAGACAACAAUCCCAUGAACAUGCUAACCUGCAGGGUUGAAACCAGAUCCCUUGAGACUGCUCUGCAGUGUGUCUCUGAGGCUUUGGAGAAGAGCGGGGUUGGCCGAACUGCCCACUGGGACAGACAGGACUGAGCGCUAGAACCAGCCCGACUGCCUUCUCUGAACUGCAGCCUGUUCAGAGCCAGAGAAGACUGGGAGUUCGUUUCCUUCCCGGAAGAGGACUGCAGGUUUGAGCAUGACCAACUUGAGGAAGGACGAAAAACGGGCAGCCAGCAAGCAGAGGUCAGUUUGAGGAUCUGUUCGGCCUGCACAGUGUGGACUCAUAUGCAAAUCUGGCUUAAUCGGAAAAUCUAGAUUUUCAUUUUUCCCUCGGGAAAACAACUGAGUAGCAAUAAAUCCCGCUGGCUUGGGGCUGUGGGUCAAUGACCACAUGGGCCACCACUGUCUCACUGCUUCCAUCAUUAUUCCCCCCGACCCAAGCCCCUCUGGGUGUUAUAAAACUUGCCUUGGCCCCUGCAGGACUCGGGUCUGCUGUCGGGAAACUAGCUCAUCCAUGAGCCUGUCUGAGAGAGGAGGGUGGAUGAGGGGGAAGGCAGGAAGAUGCUCUGUAGGUUGCAAAUGGAAGGUUUAAGAAUGGAUGAGAACAGUGUCUUCAAGUGCACCUAUACUCUGGCUUUGCAUAUUGAUGCCCACAUGGACAGGAGGCUCGGGGUGAGCACGUGAUUUCUUAAGAUGAGGGAUUUGAACUAAUUUGCAGCUGAAAGGAAUGAGUGUGAAGAGGCAGUGCAACAUUACCUUGUUGUCAGAAUUGCUUGCAGAAAGUAAGGAUUUCAAAGCACACUAACUUGACAAGCAAAGGAAACCUUCUG